rnacentral:rRNA from 1 species
CCUACGGGAGGCAGCAGUGGGGAAUAUUGCACAAUGGGGGAAACCCUGAUGCAGCGACGCCGCGUGAGUGAAGAAGUAUUUCGGUAUGUAAAGCUCUAUCAGCAGGAACGAGACAAGACGGUACCUGACUAAGAAGCCCCGGCUAACUACGUGCCAGCAGCCGCGGUAAAACGUAGGGGGCAAGCGUUAUCCGGAAUCACUGGGUGUAAGGGGAGCGUAGACGGCUGUGCAAGCCUGAAGUGAAAGGCGGGGGCGCAACCCCUGGACUGCUUUGGGAACUGUACGGCUGGAGUGCAGGAGAGGUAAGUGGAAUUCCUAGUGUAGCGGUGAAAUGCGUAGAUAUUAGGAGGAACACCAGUGGCGAAGGCGGCUUACUGGACUGUAACUGACGUUGAGGCUCGAAAGCGUGGGGAGCAAACAGGAUUAGAUACCCUAGUAGUC